rnacentral:rRNA from 1 species
GUCGAGAAUCUUUCACAAUGGGGGCAACCCUGAUGGAGCGACGCCGCGUGGAGGAUAAGGUCUUCGGAUUGUAAACUCCUGUCAUGCGUGAACAAGGUUGCUUGGUUAAUACCUGGGCAAAUUGAUAGUACCGGAAGAGGAAGGGACGGCUAACUUCGUGCCAGCAGCCGCGGUAAUACGAAGGUCUCAAGCGUUGUUCGGAAUCACUGGGCGUAAAGGGUGCGUAGGUGGCGUGGCAAGUCAGAUGUGAAAGCCCGGGGCUCAACCUCGGAACUGCAUCCGAUACUGCCAUGCUAGAGUACUGGAGGGGUGACUAGAAUUCUCGGUGUAGCAGUGAAAUGCGUAGAUAUCGAGAGGAAUACCAAAGGCGUAGGCAGGUCACUGGACAGUUACUGACACUGAGGCACGAAGGCCAGGGGAGCGAACGGGAUUAGAUACCCUGGUAGUCC